rnacentral:rRNA from 1 species
GACGAACGCUGGUGGCGUGCUUAACACAUGCAAGUCGAACGAUGAAGCCUUCGGGUGGAUUAGUGGCGAACGGGUGAGUAACGCGUGGGCAAUCUGCCCUGUACUUUGGGAUAAGCCUUGGAAACGGGUCUAAUACCGGAUAUCACUUCUGACCGCAUGGUUGGUUGUUGAAAGUUCUGGCGGUACAGGAUGAGCCCGCGGCCUAUCAGCUUGUUGGUGGGGUAAUGGCCUACCAAGGCGACGACGGGUAGCCGGCCUGAGAGGGUGACCGGCCACACUGGGACUGAGACACGGCCCAGACUCCUACGGGAGGCAGCAGUGGGGAAUAUUGCACAAUGGGCGAAAAGCCUGAUGCAGCGACGCCGCGUGAGGG